rnacentral:rRNA from 1 species
AACGAACGCUGGCGGCAGGCUUAACACAUGCAAGUCGAACGGGUGUAGCAAUACAUCAGUGGCAGACGGGUGAGUAACACGUGGGAACCUUCCUAGGGGUACGGAACAACUCAGGGAAACUUGAGCUAAUACCGUAUACGUCCGUGAGGAGAAAGAUUUAUCGCCCUUAGACGGGCCCGCGUCGGAUUAGCUAGUUGGUGGGGUAACGGCCUACCAAGGCGACGAUCCGUAGCUGAUCUUAGAGGAUGAUCAGCCACACUGGGACUGAGACACGGCCCAGACUCCUACGGGAGGCAGCAGUGGGGAAUCUUGGACAAUGGGCGCAAGCCUGAUCCAGCCAUGCCGCGUGAGUGAAGAAGGUCUUCGGAUUGUAAAGCUCUUUUGCCAGGGACGAUAAUGACGGUACCUGGAGAAUAAGCCCCGGCAAACUUCGUGCCAGCCGCCGCCAAGA